CUGGAGGCUUUAGAUUAGAGUAGUGACUUGGAAGAACCUUAAAGGGACACUCCAGGCACCCAGACCACUUCUGCCCAUUGGAGUGGUCUGGGUGCCAACUCCAACUACCCUGAAUCCUGCAAGUGUAAUUAUUGCAGUUUUCAUAAACUGCAAUAUUUACCUUGCAGGGUUAAUGCCUCCUCUAAGGGCUGUCUACUAGACAGCCACUUGAGGGCACUUCCUUGUUUAUAGCACAUGAAAAGUGUGCUAUAAUGUCGCUGGACAUCCUCACGCUAUGUGUGUACCUCCAGCGUCGCUGAAAUCCCCAUAGGAAAGCAUUGUCGCGCAUGCGCAUUAAGUCUUCCCCGCCGGCGGCCGCGCAUGCUCAAUAGGUCUCCCCCACCGGAUGACGUCGGCGGGGGAGCAGCAUGGGCGGACCCAUACCCAGCGCUGAGGGACAUCGGCGCUGGAUACAGGUAAGUCACUGAAGGGGUUUUAACCCCUUCAGCAACUUAGGAUGGAGGGUGGAAGGGAGAGGCGACCUGCAGUGCCAGGAAAACAGUUUGUUUUCCUGGCACUGGAGAAUCCCUUUAACUCCCAUGCUUUCCAACAACCCAGUAGCUAUACACACAGCAUAACAGCAAUAAAUCUUCAGCUGCUGUAUGACAGACCCUCUCAGUCGCAGCCACACACAGCAUGACAGACCCUCAGCCAGAGCCUCAAACAACAUGACUUUGAACCAGCAGUACAAAAAAAAAAAACAUGUGACAGACAAAGCACCAGCCGUGCGCACAUUCACAGUGUGACAGACAGACCGACCCUCGAUCAAAACACUUUGUGACAGACAGACAGACCGACCCUCGGUCAAAACACUUUGUGACAGACAGACAGACCGACCCUCGGUCAAAACACAGUGUGACAGACAGACAGACCGACCCUCGGUCAAAACACAGUGUGACAGACAGACAGACCGACC